rnacentral:rRNA from 1 species
GACGUAGGGCGCGAGCGUUGUCCGGAUUUAUUGGGCGUAAAGAGCUCGUAGGCGGCUUGUUGCGUCGGCUGUGAAAACCCGCAGCUCAACUGUGGGCUUGCAGCUGAUACGGGCAGGCUUGAGUUCGGUAGGGGAGACUGGAAUUCCUGGUGUAGCGGUGAAAUGCGCAGAUAUCAGGAGGAACACCGGUGGCGAAGGCGGCAUCCUGGACCGACACUGACGCUGAGGAGCGAAAGCCAGGGGAGCAAACGGG